UACGGAGGGUGCAAACGUUGCUCGGAAUUAUUGGGCGUAAAGCGCGCGCAGGCGGUUUCUUAAGUCUGAUGUGAAAGCCCACGGCUCAACCGUGGAGGGUCAUUGGAAACUGGGGAACUUGAGUGCAGAAGAGAAAAGCGGAAUUCCACGUGUAGCGGUGAAAUGCGUAGAGAUGUGGAGGAACACCAGUGGCGAAGGCGGCUUUUUGGUCUGUAACUGACGCUGAGGCGCGAAAGCGUGGGGAGCAAACAGG
rnacentral:rRNA from 1 species